AUUUCGAGCAGUAGAUCGCAACAUGUUGAGAGCCGCGGCUCGGUCCACGCUUUGAUGUGUGUGACCCACUUUGAAAUUCAUCUCACACGUUUUCUAUAUGAAGAUUCAAGGCGAUGUCCACGAGGAGAGGCUGGGCGUGGAGGCCGUGAAGUCGUCUUCCUUCUUGCGGCCGCCGCCGUGCUCCUUGUAGUCGCGGAAGCAGCGCUUGCAGCGCGUCGGCCACCGCACCUGCGGGUGGAAGCCCAGCGGGCACAGCGGGUCGCCCUUCGCCAGCGGAGAGACUAAGAGCCAGGCCCCAUUGCUCCGUUAUCUUGCGUUGCGUUGACGUCCGUCGACGCAUCAACACGGGAAUUAUGUUCUACGGUCUACCGGUCCACCGGUCAUGAAACUGGGAAUAUGGGAAGACGAGAGAGAGAGAGAGAGAGAGAAGACUUAUGUUGUACUUAUAUGAGUUCCGUACCAGAUGUGACGACUUUCUUGAUGGGCGUCCCCA